rnacentral:lncRNA from 1 species
GGGGAGGGUGGGAACAAGAUGGAAGUUGGUAUACUUAAACAUUAUUUUAAUUCAUUUGUCAUCAUCCAGAAAAUGUGGUGUUUGGGCAAUUUUGAAAGUGUUCUAAUAGCUCUCUUUAUUCCUUUUCAUAGAAAUUAACAAUUAAUCAUGAAAGCUGUAUUGUAGGAGCCCGCAAUGAAGCCUGCUUCCUUUAUACCUGUGUUGGUUUGAUGGGGCAGCUUUAAGUUGGAAGCUCUAAAUAAAGCUGCCAUACUUAGCUAUUGUAUACCUCUUCACAUCUAGUAAGUUUCCGAAGCAUUCUCCUCCCCCUCCUCCUUCUCCUCCGUGCCCUCUUUCAUUCUCCCUGGCUCUGUGUGUGUGUGUGUGUGUGUGUGUGUGUGUGUGUGUGUCAGUCUCACACCUAGCCAGAGUCAAAGGAUUCUUAAUAAGAAGCAAUCGAAAGCAAUCCUCUCUGCUGGCCUUACAUAAGAACCACACAGCAGCCGGUCUCCUGAGCCAUCCCUGUCACAUUCUCCUGUCUGCUGAAGACAGGAACAUCACCGAGAGUUGCUGGGAGAAGAAUGACUCACAGGUGAUACCCGCCACACACGUUAUCCUCAAGGUUGGAAAUAACCACCAAUAAAGGAGCCAGUCAAGAGAGUCCAAGGUAAACUAGAAAGCAAGUGGCCAGUAAAUCCGAAGACCAGAAGCUUCCAAGGUGGGGGAGGCUCAUGAUCCAGAGCCCCAAACGAUUACCUGACUUGCAAGCAAGCAACCAUUGAGACCCAGGAUGAAGUCAGGAAUGGACAUGCCACAACGACAGCCCAUAGGAAUGGACAAUCCACGACAGCCCAUAGGGUUGGACAUGCCACAACGACAGCCCAUAGGAAUGGACAUGCCACGACAGCCCAUAGGAAUGGACAUGCCACGACGGCGGCCCAUAGGAAUGGACAUGCCACGACGAAACCCCUUCACCUUGCUGAUCUCUAACUCAAAGCCACUCUGCUCCAGGUGAAGCCUCUGCCUUCACCUCUGGAUAAGGAUUCCAUACUUGCAUCUUUAAGCUAGUUCGUGGGCAUCUCUACGGAAGCCAUCCGCAGGCAUCUUACAGACACAAGAUCAG